rnacentral:rRNA from 1 species
UACAGAGGGUGCAAGCGUUAAUCGGAAUUACUGGGCGUAAAGCGUGCGCAGACGGUCUCGUAAGUCGGGUGUGAAAUCCCCGGGCUCAACCUGGGAAUUGCAUUCGAAACUGCGAGGCUAGGGUACGGAAGAGGGAAGCGGAAUUUCUGGUGUAGCGGUGAAAUGCGCAGAUAUCGGGAGGAACACCGGUGGCGAAGGCGGUUCUCUGGGCCUGACCUGACGCUGAGGAGCGAAAGCAUGGGGAGCGAACAGG